UGGAGGCUGACUGACUGCUGGCUGCUGUGAAACAUGAGGGUUACCAAGACCCUGAGAGCAGAGGUGAUCAUUAGGUUAAGCUGUGACUGAUCACAAGUAAAGACCUGGUGAAAAAGUGAACUUCUUGUUUGGACUAACAAGUUCUCUCAAAUUCACACUAAUUGUACAUCCAAUUAGAGGAGUUGAUUGAAAAAUACCAGUUCAUGUUUAUGUUUAUAUUUUUAAAGAACUUAGACUUGUAAUACAUUUAUAAAACCAUAAAAUGCUAGAAGGACAUACAUAUCAAAUGUAUAAUUGUGUUUGUCUCUGAGAAGAAGAGAUUGGAAUAAGAAUGGAUAUGGAAGUCAAAGAAGUUCUCAAUGCUGUAUUUCUUAAUUUUAAACCCACUUAGAGCAAAUAUGAAAAAAUAUUAACAGCCACAGAUUCUGGGUAGGAAAGCACAAGUUGUAAAAUAUAUUUUCUCUGUUCUUUUUUUUUUUUGACUAGAUGUUUGUUUUAAAGUAUUUUAUUGCUAUUAAAAGAAAACAAAAUACAAAAGAAUUGGAUGGAAAAGCAAAGGCUAAUCUCUUUAUUUCAGCCACUAAUAAUUGUGGUAAUCCUGGGUGUUAAUCCUUGAAGUCUUCAUGGCAUUGCUGUUUAUCUGGUGGAAACUUAUGACGCUUAGAAUAGGCUGAGUAACCUGUAAUAUCUUGUGUUUGACCCAGGACACCACAGUCCCAGGCACAAAGUGGUUAAUUUUUUUCUUUUUUCCCAUUAAUGAUCAUUAGGUUAAGCUGUGACUGAUAACAAGUGAAGACCUAGUAAAAUAGUGAACUUCUUUGGUUGGACCAACGAGUUCUAUCAAACUCAC
rnacentral:lncRNA from 10 species